UCUAGCCUGCCAGUGACAUUUGUUCAACGGCCGCGGUAUCCUAACCGUGCGAAGGUAGCGUAAUCACUUGUUCUUUAAAUGAGGACUAGUAUGAAAGGCAUCACGAGAGUUAUACUGUCUCCUUUCUCUAAUCAGUGAAACUAAUCCCCCCGUGAAGAAGCGGGGAUAAGAAUAUAAGACGAGAAGACCCUAUGGAGCUUUAAACAAAUAAUAUAUGCCCUUUUAGCUUCAAAUUUCAGAAAAAUCUCUUAUCUUGGUAUAAUAACUAAUAGUUUUUGGUUGGGGUGACCACGGAAUAAAAAACAACUUCCGCAGUGAAAGAUUCUCCCUCACUAAAUUAAGGACUACGGCCCUAAACAUCAAUAAAUUGACAUAAUUGACCCAACAUGUUGAUCAAUGAACCAAGUUACCCUAGGGAUAACAGCGCAAUCCACUUUAAGAGCUCUUAUCGACAAGUGGGUUUACGACCUCGAUGUUGGAUCAGGGUAUCCCAGUGGUGCAGCCGCUACUAAAGGUUCGUUUGUUCAACGAUUAA
rnacentral:rRNA from 1 species